rnacentral:rRNA from 1 species
AGAGAGAGACAUGCGCGCAUAUCAAUAAGCGGAGGAAAAGAAACUAACAAGGAUUCCCCUAGUAACGGCGAGUGAAGCGGGAAGAGCUCAAACUUGAAAUCUUCAAGGUUUACCUUGACGAAUUGUAGUUUAUAGAAGUGUUUUCUGUAGUGGAGUUUGGUAAAAGUUCUUUGGAAUAGGACAUCAUAGAGGGUGAGAAUCCCGUAUUUGACCAUUAUUUUCAGCUGUGUGAUAGCACUUUCAAAGAGUCGGAUUGUUUGGGAAUGCAGUCCAAAAUGGGUGGUAAAUUUCAUCUAAAGCUAAAUACUGGCGAGAGACCGAUAGCGAACAAGUACCGUGAGGGAAAGAUGAAAAGAACUUUGAAAAGAGAGUUAAACAGUACGUGAAAUUGUCAAAAGGGAAGCGUUUGACACCAGUGUUGUUUUCUCGAAAAUCAAUUAAAAAAGAUUGGAUUUUGUGUUGUAUUGACUUUAUCAGCUUUCUGCACUCUUUUCUUGUCUUUUUUAAUGCACUUUUCGUUUAACAAGUCAACAUCAAUUUCUUUUGUUGUAAAAGGGUCAUUGGAAGGUGGCUUUCUUUUCGGAGAAAGUGUUUAUAGCCUUUGGCUUCUGCAAUCGGAGAGAUUGAGGUCUGCAGCGUAGAUCCUUCGGGGUUAGAUACAUUUGUGCUAAGUUAUAGCCUUUCAUAGACAACUUGUUGACUAUGAUCAGUCAUGUAGCUUACUCGCUUAUGCUAUUUUACCUACGCUUAGGAUGUUGACAGCAGUAUAGACUGU